rnacentral:rRNA from 1 species
AGUGAACGCUGGCGGUAGGCCUAACACAUGCAAGUCGAACGGCAGCACAGUAAGAGCUUGCUCUUACGGGUGGCGAGUGGCGGACGGGUGAGGAAUACAUCGGAAUCUACUUUUUCGUGGGGGAUAACGUAGGGAAACUUACGCUAAUACCGCAUACGACCUACGGGUGAAAGCAGGGGAUCUUCGGACCUUGCGCGAUUGAAUGAGCCGAUGUCGGAUUAGCUAGUUGGCGGGGUAAAGGCCCACCAAGGCGACGAUCCGUAGCUGGUCUGAGAGGAUGAUCAGCCACACUGGAACUGAGACACGGUCCAGACUCCUACGGGAGGCAGCAGUGGGGAAUAUUGGACAAUGGGCGCAAGCCUGAUCCAGCCAGACUGCGUGGGUGAAGAAGGCCUUCGGGUUGUAAAGCCCUUUUGUUGGGAAAGAAAAGCAGCAGGUUAAUACCCCGCUGUUCUGACGGUACCCAAAGAAUAAGCACCGGCGAACUUCGU